AACGUUUCUAUAUGAUGACGCAUAGUUCAGUUGAUCAACUGUGAUAACUAAUCUAUUAUGUAUUGAAAUUGGUCUUUCACCCCUAUCUGAAAAACGUU